CUGUCAAGCCGAAGCCUUCCCCAAGGAAGCGCAGAAUCAAUCGAUACCGUCUGAGAAAGUGCAGCGUCUGCGACAAGAUAGUCAAGCGACUUGACGUUCAAGUUAUGAGUGUUCACCUCCUGAAACGUAGGACUGAGGAAUAUGGAAGGAUAAUGAGAGACUCACAACCUCUCUCUGAUGAGGAAGAGAGAGAGGCAACUGUGGCCGUCUCCAGUGGAGAUGUCACGGUCACGGUCUGUGAUGGUAUCAAGGAUUUUAUAGAACACUUUGAAAUCUACAUGAGAGCUUACACACCCCUUGUCCGUGGAUCUUUGACAGCUGAACUUCGCAUGGUCAAAGAUGUGUUAAAUUACGCUGUUGGGGAUGAGACAUUGGGUGCCAUUAGUGGUGGCACAGUAUGCAAUUACAUUGCAACCAUGGAUAACACUGACGGCUUUCUACAGAGAAAAAUGGUUUCAUGCUCGGCCAAUUACGCCCGAAAGCAUGUGGCAGCAUGCACCCGGGCUGUUGAGUUCAUGGCGAUUUCUAGUGAUAAGCUCUACAGGAUCAGUCAUGAAGAGAAACUAGACAUCGUCAAACGUCUAAAGAGCAUUAACAAUAAGUAUCGUAAGGACGAGAAGAUACAGGUUAUUCAGCAGAGGAAGAAGAAGGAGUCUGAGAACAUUGAUCUGGUGGAUAUACAAGCGUUGCUCCAGGCUCCUUAUCUGAACGCUAUUCUUGACUCAGCAGUCGCCUGCCUAGACGAUGAAACCUGCAGGCCGCGCACGAUCUCAGACUUCACCGAUUUGCGGGACGUGCUGACCACCUUCAUGCUGGUAACGUCACUUCGACGACUGAUGGAAUUUACAGAAUUCAGGCUGUCGGAGUACAUCGGCAUGGAGAGGGAUGGGGAUGGCUAUGUCAUUCGCAUAGCUCGGCACAAAACCGCUGCGCUAGGACCCUCGCUCGUAUUUCUCGAGGAGAGAAGAAGGCCCUUGACGCAUAUGUAAAGUAUUUUCGGCCACUGGCUGUCUCCUGCCGGGAGCCGGAAUGCUUGGUCUUCCCGACGAGGCAGCCCUACCCAAGAAAGCAGUGCUGCAACAAAAUAAGCGUUUCCAAUCUAGGAAAGACUGUGAAGCGCAUUGCUGUAAAGUGUGGACUGGGAGGGAAGGUCACCUCGAUAAUUAUCCGCCGUUCACACAUUUCGGCCGUGUUUGAGGAGGUUGAGGACGAAAAAACGCGGCUCAAGGUGGCAAACCUGGCUGGCCACUCUCUGCAGACCGCAUUGAGAUAUUACGAUUUUAGUGAUAAGAUCAAACCAGGCAGGAGCGUGGUUGAGAUGCUCAAAAAGAUGAGGACCGAGAGACAAGCGGCUCUUCAACAUGAAGCUCUUCAGCCUGAGGAGAGAGGCAGCGACACAGAUGAUAUGCUGGCUCCAGAAGCCAUCCAGCAGGAGGAGUCUACUAGACAUGAAAUUGAAAUUCAAC